GAUGAACGCUGGCGGCGUGCCUAAUACAUGCAAGUCGAGCGAACAGACGAGGAGCUUGCUCCUCUGACGUUAGCGGCGGACGGGUGAGUAACACGUGGAUAACCUACCUAUAAGACUGGGAUAACUUCGGGAAACCGGAGCUAAUACCGGAUAAUAUAUUCAACCGCAUGGUUCAAUAGUGAAAGACGGUUUUGCUGUCACUUAUAGAUGGAUCCGCGCCGCAUUAGCUAGUUGGUAAGGUAACGGCUUACCAAGGCGACGAUGCGUAGCCGACCUGAGAGGGUGAUCGGCCACACUGGAACUGAGACACGGUCCAGACUCCUACGGGAGGCAGCAGUAGGGAAUCUUCCGCAAUGGGCGAAGGCCUGACGGAGCAACGCCGCGUGAGUGAUGAAGGUCUUCGGAUCGUAAAACUCUGUUAUUAGGGAAGAACAAAUGUGUAAGUAACUAUGCACGUCUUGACGGUACCUAAUCAGAAAGCCACGGCUAACUACGUG
rnacentral:rRNA from 1 species